GCUGGUCUGACGUGGGAGGGUCGUGCCCACUGUGGGCUUGACGACGCUCGCAAUACUGCUCGCCUCCUUGCGCUGUUGAUGCACAGGGGAUUCAAGUUCUCCAUCACCAACUCGCUUGUGUGGCAGCAACCUUCCCCGCUGGCAAUAACGUGCCAGCCAUCCCCAUCCCCUGACCGUUCUCCAGACCUCACCCUGUUGCAGCAGCACAAGGCAAAGGAGAUGUUGGGACCUCAUCUCCAUGCUCACCCAUAUGCCGGCAAGGCCGCUGGACAGGUUUGCUUCUGUGGAGCGCCGAGCAGGCCGAACACUGUACGCAAACCGGGUCCGAUGCAGGGAAGGCAUUUCUAUGGAUGCGGCAACUGGACCGUCACGAGGCGGGCCAUAUGCACGUUCUUUGCAUGGGCGUCGUGAAUAUAACGACGCCCUGUCCUUCGCGGAAGUGGGCUGGUGCUUUAACUAGGGGAGGCUACUAGUGGCGGCCUUGCCGUGCCUCCCCCUUGGUAUAUAUAUGAUAUAUGACUUUGCUCAUAAGACAAUGGGAGUUGACUAGGUAGUAUCUAACCUGUCAUACUGACUUCUGUUGAUAGAAGAGAGUGGGGAUGAGAUGCUGCUUAGGAUGCUUUAUCCGCGAAUAAUCUUGAAGUUUGUGGACGCUUGUUUUUUCUUUUCUUUUAACUCAAAUGGAACUCUAGUAGAGGUGUGCUUUGUGAGUAGAUGUUGAAAGUGUGGAUUGUGUGUGUUUGGUGCCUGGGUAUUGAUAAUCAAGAACAAGUUACAUAUGGAACUUGAAUCGCAUCUGAAGAUGGAAAUAGCAGCCGGAAUGAUUAUUAUUUUUGCCUUUUGAGGGUUGCAACUGAGUUUUCUCUUUUCUCCGAGACCCAGUUUUGCUGUUGAAUUGACAAUUCUUACAAAGAAAUUGUAGGUGUUAAAUUUCACAAAAUCCACCUUUAGGUAUCUUGUGAUGUAAAGCUGUAGAAAUAGCCCUAGGCCUCCUUUUUUUAUUUAAAGGAAUUGUUUGUAGAAAUGAAUUCCUAUUCUUAUCUAAGAUAGGAAUCAGUUCUUUACAUUUCGAAGUAAAAGUAAAUAUUAGCGUAGACUCAAUGAAAAAAUUCUUAAGCAAAAUCAUAUGUUGCACUUAGAUGAGCUCAGGAGCCGAAAUCAAAAUAAUGGUCAAAAUCAUAUGUUGCACUUAAGAUGAGGGAGCCGAAAUGGAUAUUCGCCAAAGGAGGCCCUAGACUGAAUGUGAAUGUGUUACUUACAAUGUUUUUGUCGAGUCCAAGGUUAAGCAGAAAUAAGAGAAAAGGAUGGGUCGACAUGUAUAUUUUGUAUAAAUCUGCUUCACAGACGGAUCGGGCACCAAUAUUUUCAAAAGAAAAAGAAAUUGUUGAUGCACAUUGUCUAACGGAGUUUGGGAAUUGUGUAAUCCUAGGAGUUUUAUUGAAACACUGUGAUGCUAAACAUCAUUCACACCGGCAAUAAACACAAUACUUCAAACCGAACACAUGGGACACCUCUUCGAAAACCUUCGAAGACUUUGGAUUUGUCAGAGAUCAUUAGGACAAAGCAGCAAAAUUUGUCAAAGAUGACAAUAAAGUAUUGAGACUGAUAUUAGGUUGAAUCCAAGAGAUUCGACAAACAUCACUUUAUUUAUGUGUUGAUCCUUUGAGAUUGUAACCCUACGACCUAAUACCUUACUUUUCCCUUUAUCAGCAAAUGUGAUGUGAUUUUGUGUAGGAGGACGUAGAGUUGAGUACAUAAGUAAGCUUCGAUCACCAGUCAUAUGGUUAGUAUAGCCACUGUUUAGGAUCCACUCAGUAACUUUAAGAAAUAUAUUCUACAUUACAGUUAGUGGGAUAGGUUUCACCAAGACAAUUUGAGUGACAAACAUAAUACGAGAAACACUUUCAAGUAAAGUAGGUUUCUUGGAGGAUAUAACAGCGUGAGCAUCAAGAAAUCCAGGGACGAAAUAAAUGGUAAGACUAUUUAUACACUUUAUCUUGCGUCCGACAAGAUGUUUCAGGUCUUCAACAUUGUCUUUAGAUUCCAAUGCAUUUCACCUGGAAACCCGACCCCGCAUGAAAAGAUUUGUUCUUAACCACCCACAUAUGUAAGGGUGGCUUAGAAACAAUGAGUCUAAGUGCAACAUAUAACAUUUUUGGCUUUGAAGCCCUAGCAAAUAGAUUCACGGGGGGCUAGAAUACUCAAAUGAAUAUGUACAAAAAAGUACGAUUUGUGAGCAUAGUUGAUACGUCUCCAACGUAUUUAUAAUUUUUAAGUGUCUCAUGCUAUUAUAUUAUCAAUUUGGAUGCUUUAUAUGCAAUUUUAUAUCAUUUUUAGAACUAACCUAUUAACCUAGUGUCUAGUGCUAGUUCCCGUUUUGCCUAUUUUAUUGCUUCACAGAAAAAACAGUAUCAAACGAAGUCCAAACGUGAUGAAACUUUGCGGUGAUUUUUUUGGACCACAAAGGACCCUGGAAGCAUCAGGAGGAGGCCAGAAGAUGUACAACCGGGCCACAAGCUCACACGACGCGCACCCAGGGGGCACCACCUAAGCUUGUGGGCCCCUUGUAACUCCGUUUUCCUUAAUUCUACUUCUAUAAAUUCUAUAAAUUUCCUAAAAUCCGAAAACCACCAGAGCGAGACCUGAAACAAUUAUUCUGCCACUGCAAGCCUCUGUUCUUCCGUGAUCCCAUCUAAAGGCCUUCGCCGGUACCUUUGCCGGAGGGGGAAUCGAUCACGGAGGGUUUCUACAUCAACCUUGCUGCACCUCCGAUCAUAUGUGAUCAUUUCACCAAAGACCUACGUGUCUAUAGUGAUUAGCUACAUCUCUCUCUCUCUCUCUCUCUCUCUCUCUCUCUCUCUCUGAUAUUCAAUACAAUGUUCGCCUCAGAGUUCUAUUCGAUGUAAUCUUCUUUUACGGUGUGUUUGUUGGGAUCCGAUGAAUUGUGGGUUUAUGAUCAGAUUAUUGAUUGAAAGUAACUGAGUCUUUUCUGAAUUUUAUUAUGUGUGAUUGUUAUAGCUAUGUAAUUCUUUUCGAUCUAUGAGUUUUCUUUGGCCAAGUUGAUGAGUAGAUCUUUAGUGGAAGUGGUGCAUAGUAGUAGGUUCAAUCUUGUGGUGUCCUCACCUCGUGAUAGAAGGGAUAAUGAGGCACUUAUUUGUAUUGUUACUACUAAGGGGAAAACGACUGGGUUCAAUCACAUUGCUUGAUUUUAUUCUGACUACAUUAUGUCAUCAUACUUCAUGCAUUAUUUUGUUUGUUAUGAACUUAAUACCUAGAGAGGCAAGUAUAAAAGCUCUCUCAAAGUGGAAGUGGAGUAAUAGUAGUAGAUGCAGGCAGUAGUGAGUCUACUUGUCACGGACGUAAUGACUUUGUACUGAUUAUGCAAUGAAUAAGCCAUAACUAUGCACUUUUGUAUCAAUUGCCCAACAGUAAUUUGUCUACCCACCAUAUGCUAUGUUCUUGAUAGAGAUGCCUCUAAUGAAAACUAUGGCCUUCGGGUCUAUUCAACAUAUUUACUAAAACCUUAAAAUACCUUGCUAUAAUUUAUUUACUUUUAUUUUACUUUGCAAUUUAUUUACUUAAAAUACCUUGCUAUAAUCUACUACUAUCAGAUUUAAUCCUUGCAAUUAACGAGUAGAAGGGGAUUGACAACCCUCUUGCCCGUGUUGGGUGCAAGUAUUUACUCUUGUUUGUGUAGGUACUGUCAACAGUUGUUUAUGAACAUCCUGAAGUUAUUAAUGUUAUUAAUAUUAUUAAAAAUAAAAAGGUAUAAAAAUACUUUUUUUCAUGAAUAAAAAUUACAUGCAAAUGUAGGUGAUGUUUUCUGAACAUCCUGAUAUCUUUUUUGCAUUUUUUUGAGUUCAUAUCAACUUGUUAUGCAUGUUCAAACGACUUUGACCAUUAUUUUGAAACUUCAUAACAAGUUGAUAUGAACUCAAAAAAAUGCAAAUAAGAUAUCAGGAUGUUCACAAAACGUCAUCGACAUUUGCAUGUAAUUUUAUUCCUGAAAAAAUAUUGUUUAUGUUGGGGAACGUAGUAAUUUUAAAAAAAAAUUCCUACGCACACGCAAGAUCAUGGUGAUGCAUAGCAACGAGAUGGGAGAGUGUGAUCUACGUACCCUUGUAGACCGACAGCGGAAGCGUUAUGACAACGCGGUUGAUGUAGUCGUACGUCUUCACGGCCCGACCGAUCAAGCACCGAAACUACGACACCUCCGAGUUUUAGCACACGUUCAGCUCGAUGAUGAUCCCCGGACUCCGAUCCAGUAAAGUGUCGGGGAAGAGUUCCGUCAGCACGAUGGCGUGGUGACGAUCUUGAUGUUCUACCGUCACAGGGCUUCGCCUAAGCACUGCUACAAUAUUAUCGAGGAUUAUGAUGGAAGGGGGCACCACACACGGCUAAGAAUAUGAUCACGUGGAUCAACUUGUGUGUCUAGAGGUGCCCCCCUGCCCCCGUAUAUAAAGGAGCAAGGGGGAGGAGGCCGGCCCUAGGAGGGGUGCGCCAGGGAGUAGGAUUCCUACUCCUAGUUGGAGUAGGUUUCCUCCUUUCCUAGUCCAACUAGGAGAAGGGGGGAAAGGGGGGAAGAGGGGAAGGAAGGGAGAGAGGGGCCGCGCCCCAAACCCCUUGUCCAAUUCGGACUGGGCUUGGGAGGGGCGCGCGCCACCUCCUGGUCCUUCCCACUAAGGCCCAUUAAGGCCCAUUGCUUCUUCCUCGUAUUUCCGUAACUCCCUGGUACCUCCAAAAAUACCCGAAUCACCCGGAACCUUUCGAUGUCCGAAUAUAGUCGUCCAAUAUAUCGAUCUUUACGUCUCGACCAUUUCGAGACUCCUCGUUAUGUCCCCGAUCUCAUCCGGGACUCCGAACUCCUUUGGUACAUCAAAACUCAUAAUAUAACUGUCAUCGAAACCUUAAGCGUGCGGACCCUACGGGUUCGAGAACAAUGUAGACAUGACCGAGACACGUCUCCGGUCAAUAACCAAUAGCGGAACCUGGAUGCUCAUAUUGGCUCCCACAUAUUCUAUGAAGAUCUUUAUUGGUCAGACCGCAUAACAAUAUACGUUGUUCCCUUUGUCAUCGGUAUGUUACUUGCCCGAGAUUCGAUCGUCGGUAUCUCAAUACCUAGUUCAAUCUCGUUACCGGCAAGUCUCUUUACUCGUUUCGUAAUACAUCAUCUUGCAACUAACUCAUUAGUUGCAAUGCUUGCAAGGCUUAUGUGAUGUGCAUUACCGAGAGGGCCCAGAGAUACCUCUCCGACAAUCGGAGUGACAAAUUCUAAUCUCGAAAUAUGCCAACCCAACAUGUACCUUUGGAGACACCUGUAGAGCUCCUUUAUAAUCACCCAGUUACAUUGUGACGUUUAGUAGCACACAAAGUGUUCCUCCGGCAAACGGGAGUUGCAUAAUCUCAUAGUCAUAGGAACAUGUAUAAGUCAUGAAGAAAGCAAUAGCAACAUACUAAACGAUCGGGUGCUAAGCUAAUGGAAUGGGUCAUGUCAAUUACAUCAUUCUCCUAAUGAUGUGAUCCCGUUAAUCAAAUGACAACACAUGUCUAUGGUUAGGAAACAUAACCAUCUUCGAUUAACGAGCUAGUCAAGUAGAGGCAUACUAGUGACACUUUGUUUGUCUAUGUAUUCACACAUGUAUUAUGUUUCCGGUUAAUACAAUUCUAGAAUGAAUAAUAAACAUUUAUCAUGAAAUAAGGAAAUAAAUAAUAACUUUAUUAUUGCCUCUAGGGCAUAUUUCCUUCAGUCUCCCACUUGCACUAGAGUCAAUAAUCUAGAUCACAUCGCCAUGUGAUUCAACACUAAUAGUUCACAUUACCAUGUGAUUAACACCCAUAGUUCACAUUGGCAUGUGACCAACACUCAAAGGGUUUACUAGAGUCAGUAAUCUAGUUCACAUCUGUAUGUGAUUAAUACCCAAAGAGUACUAAGGUGUGAUCAUGUUUUGCUUGUGAGAGAAGCUUAGUCAACGAGUCUGCCAAAAUUCAGAUCCGUAUGUAUUUUGCAAAUUUCUAUGUCUACAAUGCUCUGCACGGAGCUACUUUAGCUAAUUGCUCCACUUUCAAUAUGUAUCCAGAUGAAGACUUAGAGUCAUCCGGAUCAGUGCCAAAAACUUGUAUUGACGUAAUCUUUUUACGACGAACCUUUUGUCACCUCCAUAAUCGAGAAACAUAUCCUUAUUCCACUAAGGAUAAUUUUGACCGAUGUCCAGUGAUCUACUCCUAGAUCACUAUUGUACUCCCUUGCCAAAAUCAGUGUAGGGUAUACAAUAGAUCUGGUACAUAGCAUGGCAUACUUUAUAGAACCUAUGGCUGAGGCAUAGGGAAUGACUUUCAUUCUCUUUCUAUCUUCUGUCGUGGUCGGGCUUUGAGUCUUACUCAAUUUCACACCUUGUAACACAGGCAAGAAAUCUUUCUUUGACUGUUCCAUUUUGAACUACUUCAAAAUCUUGUCAAGGUAUGUACUCAUUGAAAAAAACUUAUCAAGCGUCUUGAUCUAUCUCUAUAGAUCUUGAUGCUCAAUAUGUAAGCAGCUUCACCGAGGUCUUUCUUUAAAAAACUCCUUUCAAACACUUUUUUAUGCUUUAUAGAAUAAUUCUACAUUAUUUCCGAUCAAUAAUAUGUCAUUCACUUAUACUUGUCAGAAAUGUUGUAGUGCUCCCACUCACUUUCUUGUAAAUACAGGCUUCACCGCAAGUCUGUAUAAAACUAUAUGCUUUGAUCAACUUAUCAAAGCGUAUAUUCCAACUCCGAGAUGCUUGCACCAGUCCAUAGAUGAAUCGCUGGAGCUUGCAUAUUUAGUUAACACCUUUAGGAUCGACAAAACCUUCUAGUUGCAUCGUAUACAACUCUUCUUUAAUAAAUCCAUUAAGGAAUUCAGUUUUGUCUAUCCAUUUGCCAGAUUUCAUAAAAUGCGGCAAUUGCUAACAUGAUUCAGACAGACUUAAGCAUAGAUAUGAGUGAGAAACUCUCAUCGUAGUCAACACCUUGAACUUGUCAAAAACCUUUUGCGACAAUUCUAGCUUUGUAGAUAGUAACACUACUAUCAGCGUCCGUCUUCCUCUUGAAGAUCCAUUUAUUUUCUAUGGCUUGCCGAUCAUCGGGCAAAUCCAUCAAAGUCCAUACUUUGUUCUAAUACAUGGAUCAUAUCUCAGAUUUCAUGGCCUCAAACCAUUUCGCGGAAUCUGGGCUCAUCAUCGCUUCCUCAUAGUUCGCAAGUUCGUCAUGGUCUAGUAACAAGACUUCCAGAACAGGAUUACCGUACCACUCCGGUGCGGAUCUCACUCUGGUUUACCUAUGAGAUUCGGUAGUAACUUGAUCUGAAGUUACAUGAUCAUCAUCAUUAGCUUCCUUACUAAUUGGUGUAGUAGUCACAAGAACAAAUUUCUAUGAUGAACUACUUUCCAAUAAGGGAGCAGGUAUAGUUACCUCAUCAAGUUCUACUUUCCUCCCACUCACUUCUUUCGAGAGAAAUUCCUUCUCUAGAAAGGAUCCAUUCAAAGCAACGAAUAUCUUGCCUUUGGAUCUGUGAUAGAAGGUGUACCCAACAUUUUCUUUUUUGGUAUCCUAUGAAGACACACUUCUCCGAUUUGGGUUUGAGCUUAUCAGGUUGAAACUUUUUUUACAUAAGCAUUGCAACUUCAAACUUUAAGAAACGACAACUUAGGUUUCUUGCCAAACCAUAGUUCAUACGGUGUCGUUUCAACGGAUUUAGAUGGUGCCCUAUUUAAUGUGAAUGCAGCUGUCUCUAAUGCAUAACCCCAAAACGAUAGUGGUAGAUCGGUAAGAGACAUCAUAAAUCGCACCAUAUCUAAUAAAGUACGGUUAUGACGUUCGCACACACCAUUACAUUGUGGUGUUCCAGGUGUCGUGAGUAGUAAAACUAUUUCACAUUGUUUUUAACUGAAGGCCAAAAUUGUAACUCAAAUACUCUUCUCUACGAUCAGAUCGUAGAAACUUUAUUUUCUUGUUACGAUGAUUUUUCACUUCACUCUGAAAUUCUUUGAACUUUUCAAAUGUUUCAGACUUAUGUUUCAUCAAGUAGAUAUACUCAUAUCUGCUCAAAUCAUCUGUGAAGAUCAGAAAAUAAUGAUACCUGUCGUGAGCCUCAAUAUUCAUCGGACCACAUACAUCAGUAUGUAUGAUUUCCAACAAAUCUGUUGCUCGCUCCAUUGUUCCGAAGAACAGAGUCUUAGUCAUCUUGCCCAUGAGGCAUGGUUCACAAGCAUCAACUGAUUCAUAAUCAAGUGAUUCCAAAAACCCAUCAGCAUGGAGUUUCUUCAUGCGCUUUACACCAAUAUGACCUAAACGGGAGUGCCACAAAUAAGUUGCACUAUCAUUAUUAACUUUGCAUCUUUUGGUUUCAAUAUUAUGAUUAUGUGUAUCACUACGAUCGAAAUCCAACGAACUAUUUUCAUUGGGUGUGUAACCAUAUGAGGUUUUAUUCAUGUAAACAGAACAACAAUUUAUUCUCUUACUUAAAUGAAUAAUCGUAUUACAAUAAACAUUAUCAAAUCAUAUUCAUGCUCAACGCAAACACCAAAUAACACUUAUUUAGGUUCAACACUAAUCCCGAAAUUAUAGGAAGUGUGCGAUGAUGAUCAUAUCAAUCUUGGAACCACUUCCAACACACGUCGUCACUUCACCCUUAACUAGUCUCUGUUUAUUCUGCAACUCCCGUUUCGAGUUACUAAUCUUAGCAACUGAACUAGUAUCAAAUAUCGAGGGGUUGCUAUAAACACUAGUAAAGUACACAUCAAUAACAUGUAUAUCAAAUAUACUUAUGUUCAUUUUGCCAUCCUUCUUAUCUGCCAAUCACUUGGGGUAGUUCCGCUUCCAGUGACCAGUCCCUUUGCAGUAGAAGCACUUAGUCCCAGGCUUAGGACCAGACUUGGGCUUCUUCACUUGCGCAGCAACUUGCUUGCUGUUCUUCUUAAAGUUCCCCUUCUUCCCUCUGCCCUUUUCUUGAAACUAGUUGUUUUGUCUACCAUCAACAGUUGAUGUUUUUCUUGAUUUCUACCUUCGUCAAUUUCAGCAUUACGAAGAGCUUGGGAAUCGUUUCCGUUAUCCCUUGCAUAUCAUAGUUCAUCACGAAGUUCUACUAACUUGGUGAUGGUGACUAGAGAAUUCUGUUAAUCACUAUUUUAUCUGGAAGAUUAACUCCCACUUGAUUCAAGCAAUUGUAGUACCCAGACAAUCUGAGCACAUGCUCACUAGUUGAGCGAUUCUCCUCCAUCUUUUAGCUAUAGAACUUGUUGGAAACUUCAUAUCUCUCAACUCGGCUAUUUUCUUGAAAUAUUAACUUCAACUCCUGGAACAUCUCAUAUGUUCCAUGAUGUUCAAAAUGUCUUUGAAGUCCCGAUUCUAAGCCGUUAAGCAUGUUGCACUAAACUAUCAAGUAGUCAUCAUAUUGAGCUAGCCAAAUGUUCAUAAUGUCUGCAUCUGCUACUGCAAUAGGUAUGUCAUCUAGCAGUGCAUCAAGGACAUAAUUCUUCUGUGCAGCAAUGAGGAUAAACCUCAGAUCACGGAUCCAAUCCGCAUCAUUGCUACUAACAUUUUUCAACACAAUUUUCUCUGGGAACAUAUCAAAAUAAACACAGGGAAGCAACAACGCGAGCUAUUGAUCUACAACAUAAUUUGCAAAAUACUAGCAGGACUAAGUUCAUGACAAAUUUAAAGUUCAAUUAAUCAUAUUACUAAAGAACUCCCACUUAGAUAGACAUCCCUCUAAUCCUCUAAGUGAUUACGUGAUCCAAAUCAACUAAACCAUGUCCGAUCAUCACGUGAGAUGGAGUAGUUUCAUUGGUGAACAUCACUAUAUUGAUCAUAUCUACUAUAUGAUUCACGCUCGACCUUUUGGUCUCCGUGUUCCGAGGCCAUAUCUAUAUAUGCUUGGCUCAUCAAGUAUAACCUGAGUAUUCCGUGUGUGCAACUGUUUUGCACCCGUUGUAUUUGAACGUAGAGCCUAUCACACCCGAUCAUCACGUGGUGUCUCAGCACGAAGAACUUUCGCAACGGUGCAUACUCAGGGAGAACACUUCUUGAUAAUUAGUGAGAGAUCAUCUUAAAAUGCUACCGUCAAUCAAAGCAAGAUAAGAUGCAUAAAAGAUAAACAUCACAUGCAAUCAAUAUAAGUGAUAUGAUAUGGCCAUCAUCAUCUUGUGCUUGUGAUCUCCAUCUUCGAAGCACCGUCGUGAUCACCAUCGUCACCGGUGCGACACCUUGAUCACCAUCAUAGCAUCGUUGUCGUCUCGCCAAUCUUAUGCUUGCACGACUAUCGCUACCGCUUAGUGAUAAAGUAAAGCAUUACAGCGCAAUUGCAUUGCAUACAAUAAAGCGACAACCAUAUGGCUCCUUCCAGUUGCCGAUAACUUGGUUAAAAAACAUGAUCAUCUCAUACAAUAAAAUUUUAGCAUCAUGUCUUGACCAUAUCACAUCACAACAUGCCCUGCAAAAACAAGUUAGACGUCCUCUACUUUGUUGUUGCAAGUUUUACGUGGCUGCUACGGGCUUAAGCAAGAACCAAUCUUACCUACACAUCAAAACCACAAGGAUAGUUUGUUAAGUUGGUGUUGUUUUAACCUUCGCAAGGACCGGGCAUAGCCACACUCGGUUCAACUAAAGUUGGAGAAACUGUCACCUGCUAGCCACCUUUGUGCAAAGCACGUCGGGAGAACCGGUCUCGCGUAAGCGUAUGCGUAAUGUCGGUCCGGGCCGCUUCAUCCAACAAUACCGCCGAACCAAAGUAUGACAUGCUGGCAAGCAGUAUGACUUAUAUCGCCCACAACUCACUUGUGUUCUACUCGUGCAUAUAACAUCAACACAUAAAACCUAGGCUCGGAUGCCACUGUUGGGGAACGUAGUAAUUUAAAAAAAAAUCCUACGCACGCGCAAGAUCAUGGUGAUGCAUAGCAACGAGAUGGGAGAGUGUGAUCUACGUACCCUUGUAGACCGACAGCGGAAGCGUUAUGACAACGCGGUUGAUGUAGUCGUACGUCUUCACGGCCCGACCGAUCAAGCACCGAAACUACGGCACCUCCGAGUUUUAGCACACGUUCAGCUCGAUGACGAUCCCCGGACUCCGAUCCAGCAAAGUGUCGGGGAAGAGUUCCGUCAGCACGACGGCGUGGUGACGAUCUUGAUGUUCUACCGUCGCAGGGCUUCGCCUAAGCACCGCUAUAAUAUUAUCGAGGAUUAUGGUGGAAGGGGGCACCGCACACGGCUAAGAAUAUGAUCACGUGGAUCAACUUGUGUGUCUAGAGGUGCCCCCUGCCACCGUAUAUAAAGGAGCAAGGGGGAGGAGGCCGGCCCUAGGAGGGGCGCGCCAGGGAGUAGGAUUCCUACUCCUAGUUGGAGUAGGUUUCCUCCUUUCCUAGUCCAACUAGGAGAAGGGGGAAAGGGGGGAAGAGGGGAAGGAAGGGAGAGAGGGGCCGCGCCCCAAACCCCUUGUCCAAUUCGGGCUGGGCUUGGGAGGGGUGCGCGCCACCUCCUGGUCCUUCCCACUAAGGCCCAUUAAGGCCCAUUGCUUCUUCCUCGUAUUCCCAUAACUCCCCGGUACCUCCGAAAAUACCCGAAUCACUCGGAACCUUUACGAUGUCCGAAUAUAGUCGUCCAAUAUAUCGAUCUUUAUGUCUCGACCAUUUCGAGACUCCUCGUCAUGUCCCCGAUCUCAUCCGGGACUCUGAACUCCUUCGGUAGAUCAAAACUCAUAAACUCAUAAUAUAACUGUUAUCAAAACCUUAAGCGUGCGGACCCUAUGGGUUCGAGAACAAUGUAGACAUGACCGAGACACGUCUCUGGUCAAUAACCAAUAGCGGAACCUGGAUGCUCAUAUUGGCUCCCACAUAUUCUAUGAAGAUCUUUAUCGGUCAGACCGCAUAACAACAUACGUUGUUCCCUUUGUCAUCGGUAUGUUACUUGCCCGAGAUUCGAUCGUCGGUAUCUCAAUACCUAGUUCAAUCUCGUUACUGGCAAGUCUCUUUACUCGUUUCAUAAUACAUCAUCUUGCAACUAACUCAUUAGUUGCAAUGCUUGCAAGGCUUAUGUGAUGUGCAUUACCGAGAGGGCCCAGAGAUACCUCUCCGACAAUCGGAGUGACAAAUCCUAAUCUUGAAAUACGCCAACCCAACAUGUACCUUUGGAGACACCUGUAGAGCUCCUUUAUAAUCACCCAGUUACGUUGUGACGUUUGGUAGCACACAAAGUGUUCCUCCGGCAAACGGGAGUUGCAUAAUCUCAUAGUCAUAGGAACAUGUAUAAGUCAUGAAGAAAGCAAUAGCAACAUACUAAACGAUCGGGUGCUAAGCUAAUGGAAUGGGUCAUGUCAAUUACAUCAUUCUCCUAAUGAUGUGAUCCCGUUAAUCAAAUAACAACACAUGUCUAUGGUUAGGAAACAUAACCAUCUUCGAUUAACGAGCUAGUCAAGUAGAGGCAUACUAGUGACACUUUGUUUGUCUAUGUAUUCACACAUGUAUUAUGUUUCCGGUUAAUACAAUUCUAGCAUGAAUAAUAAACAUUUAUCAUGAAAUAAGGAAAUAAAUAAUAACUUUAUUAUUGCCUCUAGGGCAUAUUUCCUUCAGUUUAUAUCUUUUUAUAUUGGGAUUUUUGUAUUCGUGCCCCUAGUUGGGUCACGCUCGACUGAUUUGCCCCUAUUUUUUCAACAAUUGCGGUUUUGCCCAGCUCACUUCAAUUGCCUUGUGUUUUUGCCCUUCCAGGGAGGUUCUGACCAGUGAGCAGUCGCCACGUGGCGAAUCGUGAUUGGCCGGAACCGCCCCGGAAGGGCAAAAACACAAGGCGAGUGAAGUGAGCUGGGCAAAACCGCAAUUGUUGAAAAAAUAAGGGCAAAUCAGUCGAGCAUGACCCAACUAGGGGCACAAAUACAAUUAUUCAUUUUAUAUUUAAUAAUGUUAAUAACAUCGAUAACCUUAGGUAGUUUAAACAGUACUUUUGUCUGAAAUGCAAAUGACAUACACAUAAAGGUAAUGUUUAUCUGAACAUUUUGAUAUCUUAUUUGCAUUUUUCUGAGUUCAUAUCAAUUUGCUAUGAAUUUUCAAAGUAUUGGUCAAUCGGUCAAAGGGCAUUCGAGUGACCUCGGAGGAAAAUCUAAGGGCAAAACUGAGCAGAGUCGAAAAGUAGGGGCAAAACCCGUGGGUAGGUUCUAACUAGGGGCAAAAAUGCAUUUGUCCCUUAUUCUUUUUACUUGAACUUGAUCUCAACUGAAAUUUCUACACAGUAAUAAGAUACAAAUUAUCUAUGUUGUCCUCAUUUUUCAGAUUUUUGGAGUUACAGAAGUAUGGUUUUAGUUCAGAUCAAUACAGACUAUUCUUUUUUAGACAUAUUCCAUUUUUUAUUGCAUAGUGUGCUUAUUUUAAUGAUGCUAUGGAUUAUAUCGGGGGGGGGAGGGGGGUUAUAAGUCAUGGAGAAGUUAGAACACUGUAAUAAUUAUGAAUAAAUUCACAACACUACCUAAGUUUAUGGUUUUCCGAUUAUACUAAGGAUCUCAUGAAGUUUCUGUUCCGUUUUGUCUUCUGAAGUUUUCAAGUUUUGGGUGAGAUCACGAUGAAUGAAGGAAUAAGGAGCGGCAAGACCCUAAGCUUUGGGAUGCCCAAGUGUAACACCCACAAUGCGGCUAUAUCUGCCAUGUGUCGGGGCACGAUUUAGAGGCAUAGCCGCAUGGUAGGUCUGUCGCAAGAGGGGUAAUCUUUACACAUCCCAUGUACUGAAUAAGAAAGGGAUAAAGAGUCGGCUUACAAUCACCACUUCACACAAUACAUAAAUAAUCCAUACAUCAUCCAGAAUACAAUCAAGGUCCGACUACGGAACCAAAAUAAAGAAAGACCACCCCAAAUGCUAGAUCCCCGAUCGUCCCAACUGGGCUCCACUACUAAUCAACAGGAAACGAAACAAGACAACGAUCAAGAUCUUCAUCGAGCUCCCACUUGAGCUGGGUUGCGUCACCUGCACUGGUAUCAUCGGCACCUGCAACUGUUUGGAAGUAUCUGUGAGUCACGAGGACUCAGCAAUCUCACACCCGCGAGAUCAAGACUAUUUAAGAUUAUGGGUAGGAAAGGGUAGUGAGGUGCAGCUGCAGCAAAGCACUAAGCAUAUAUGGUGGCUAACUUACGCAAAUAAGAGCGAGAAGAGAAGCAACGCAAACGGUCAUGAACUAGAAGUGAUCAAGAAGUGAUCCUGAAACUACUUACGUUCAAGCAUAACACAAGGACCGUGUUCACUUCCCGGACUCUGCCGGAAAGAGACCAUCAUGGCUACACACGCGGUUGAUCCAUUUUAAUUAAGUUAAGUGUCAAGUUAUCUCCAACCGGAUAUUAACAAAUUCCCAUCUGCCACAUAACCGCGGGCACGGCUCUCGAAAGUUUAUACCCUGCAGGGGUGUCCCAACUUAGCCCAUCACAAGCUCUCACGGUCAACGAAGGAUAUUCCUUCUCCCAGGAAGACCCGAUCAGACUCAGAAUCCCGGUUACAAGACAUUUCGACAAUGGUAAAACAAGACCAGCAAGACCACCCGGAUGUGCCGACAAAUCCCGAUAGGAGUUGCACAUAUCUCUUUCUUAGGGCACACCAGAUAAACUAAGCGUACAGGUACCAACAUAACCCAAGUUUCCAAGGGACGGUCCCGCAUGGUGCUCUGGUUCGGACCAACACUUAGAGAAGCACUGGCCUGGGGGGGAGGAGUUAAAAUAAGAUGACCCUCGGGCUCGUGAAAACCCAAGGGAGGGUUAUAGGUUGUUAGGCAAAUGUAAAACCAAGGUUGGGCCUUGCUGGAGGAGUUUUAUUCAAAGCGAACUGUCAAGGGGUUCCCAUAACACCCAACCGCGUAAGGAACGCAAAAUCAAGGAUCAUAACACCGGCAUGACGGAAACUAGGGCGGCAAGAGUGGCACAAAACACCAGGCAUAAGGCCGAGCCUUCCAUCCUUUACCAAGUAUAUAGAUAGGGAUGGCAAUUUCGCCCAUGGGUAUGGGUAUCCGUGGGUACCCUACCUAAAAAUAGUGGGCAUGGGCAAGACUUGGCAAGAUUUUGUACCCAUGGGUAAUGGGUAUCCAUACCCGCAAAAUAUGUGGGUAGGGCAUGGGUAUGAGAUUGCGCCCAUGGGUAACCCAAUGGGUACCCAGAAAAUAUUAAUAAAUGAAAAUAACUCCUAUGAUAUGUGGGGUCUACAUCCAACUCAUAUUGCCCAACUCUUAAUUCCUUAUUCCCUAAACCAACCAUAGCUAAUAGGCUCCCAACAACCAGCUCACACUCCUCCUAUGUCCUAUGUGACUCCUCGAAAUGAUAAAAUCUCGACUCAUCACCAACACAUUCUCUUCCAACUCUCGAACUAGCAAACCCCAGUUCCCGUCGUCGCCUUCCACUAUGUCGGCUUCCACCAACCACUUAUCGUAAUCCCUUGCCGGCUGCAAUUGGCCACACACUAGAGGACGUCGUGUCGGUACUAGAUUGAUUGUCCAUCAUCACUUGAAUAUUACACUCAUGUAUGUAAUUCUUUAAAAUUUAAAUGCUAUAUAUGUUGUACCCAUUGGGUAUAGCAUACCCAAUGGGUAUGGGCAUGGGUGUCAAUUUGUGCCCAUGGGUAUUGAAAUGGGUGGGUAUAGAAAGUUUCUAUGGGUAUGGGUUUGGGCAAGAGGAGGUUGUACCCACCCAUACCCUACCCAUUGCCAUCCCUGUAUAUAGAUGCAUUAACUAAAAUAAGAGAUAUUGUGAUAUCCCAACAAAUCCAUGUUCCAACAUGGAACAGACUUCAACUUCACCUAGAACUAGCAACGCUAUAAGAGGGGCUGAGCAAAAGCGAUAACAUAGCCAAACAACGGUUUGCUAGGAAGGUGGGUUAAAGGCUUGACAUGGCAAUAUGGGAGGCAUGAUAUAACAAGUGGUAGGUAACGCGACAUAGUGAUAGAGCGAUCAACUAGCAAGCAAAGAUAGAAGUGAUUUCGAGGGUAUGGUCGUCUUGCCUGAGAUCCCGAAAGGAAGAAGAACGAGUCCAUGAAGAAGGCAAACAGACGUAGUCGAACGGAUCCUCACAACUCCGGAACGAAACCGAAGCUAACGAGAGAAGCAACCCGGAAAGAAGCAGGCAACAUAGUAAACAACCAUCACAUAAACAUGGCAUGAUGCACAACCAAGGAUGAUGCAUGUCCGGUUUAAAUAUGCAUGGCAUGGCAAAGUGCACAAACAACACUACAAGUUAAGUGGAGCUCAAUAUGCAACGAGUUGCAUAUUGACGAAACACCACAUUUGAUUAUUUAGUUCACCCCCGUUUAUGUACUCAACAAUAUUAAAUAUUGUUAAACAUGGCAAGAGAUGAAGCAAAAGUAAACUACACAAUCUAAGCAAUUUAAAUGGGGCCAAAAACAUCAAACAACAGUUCCGGUAAAUCCCCAUAUGCAUUUAGCAAUUUAAAGCAAACAACAAUUUUAAACAUUCUUGAUGUUGUUAUCAUGAUGCGGAUGACAUGUGCAAGUUUAUGCAAAUUUUAUUAAAAGUUGACAUGAACAUAUUAUGAAGCAUUUGUCAUCGUGGCAUAAACGAAAGGGGUGCCAUGACAACGAAUCCGAAAAUGAUGCCACGGCAACAUAUCGAUUCCGGUAGCUCAUGGAGAUACCGGUGCAAAAGGAAAAGUGACAGGAGCGUGUCAUGCAAGGAUGGUGGGGUGGUCCCGGAUACCGGGUUCCCACGGGUCGCGACGGUGCCAAGCGAGGGAAACAACUAGCGUUCACGGGAGGAUACAACAUCCAAACAUGCAUCUCAUACAACACAUACAUUCAUUCACGGGCGGUCGUCUCGGGGUUAUACCUUCGAAGCGUGCAACGGGACGGUUCUCGUUCGGUGCAAAGUAGAGGAAGUAGACGUUCUCGGGACGUUCGUAGUGGAGGUAGUCGUUCACGGCGACGGUAGUUGUACAUGGGUCUUCGGCCAUGGAAGUAGUCGCACAACGUUUUCGUAGAGGUUCAGGGUCACGACACGGAACUUGACGUCCACGGGGUCUUUGCGGGUCGACGGUAGUGGUACUUGGCAAAAUGCACGUCGACGGUAGUUGUUCUCGUAUCAUCGUGGUGGAAGUAGUCGUACUCGACGAUAGUGGUACCCGUCUUCGUAGAUGUUCGAGUCAUCGGUAGCGGUACUUGGUGAAACUCGAAACGGUCUUGGCGUCUUCGCGCGUAGGGGUACUUGGCGUUUCACUAGACUUGACGAUGGUAGACGAAUUUGGUGGUCCAGGGUACUUGGUGUGCAGCGAGCAACUUUGUGGUGUAUAGGUGCAUCGGUGGUCUCGAUCACAUAAGUGUUACCGAGAUGCGGCUGUUAUAGCCACAUGAACAUGAGCAUGGCGCUGGACUCGGACAAGGCCGAAGGAGGCCUCGGCAAGGAGGAUAGCAGCGGGGUAGAGGAGAUCCCGCGAGGAGGCAGCAAAUGUGCGGCUCCUUAGCAGAGAGGUCGUGGCCAUGGGAGGAUCUGAGAGCUCGGAACUGUGGCGAAGAAGAGAUCAGCGGGGUUUUGCGGACAUGGUACUCGCAGCAGCAGGAGAAGAGAAGAAAAAGGUGACCGGGAGGGGCGGCGAGCGGACGUGGCUCCGACGGAGCUGCUCGCCGGCGACGGCCGGAAACAAAGGCAGGGCCCCGGCGUGAUGGAGGCGGAUCAGUGGAGCGGUGGAGCAGAGCAGGCGCUGGCGGCGACACUGGCUGGAGCGAGGUGGAGGCGCUCGGUCCUCGGGCACGAGCGGGGAGGAGAGGUGGCUGCGGUAGGUUCCAGGCGGCGCUCGGUGGCGGCAGACUUGGAGGCGGGGCGGCGACGUGGUGUUCCACUCCUUGUGCUGCUCCUUCGAUGAGAAGAGUUGGCGGCGGGGACAAGGUGGCGUAGGGUCGGGCGAGGUGCCCUGGCAGCGGCACUAGGAGGGAGAUGAGGGGAUCGGGCGUCUCCCUUGGAGGCGCUGGGUGCGGUUCCUGUGUGCGAGCAAGGAGAGGGAGAGAGAUGGGGAUCGGGCCAAAGGCUCUGGCGGCGCGAGAGAGAGAUCAAGGAGAGCGAGGGAUCGGGCUAGGGAGCGGCUAGGGUUAGGUGCGGUUGGGCCUUGGGCCACUGGAGGCUGGGCCUGGGAGGUCCAAGAGGUAGGACUAGCUGCUGGGCUCUCUCUCCCUUAAGUCUUAAAAAAACCUUUUCAGAAAACAGAAAAAUCGCAAACAAAAAAGGAGAGAAAAGAAAGGGUUAGAGGAAGGAUUUGGGCACGCGGAUUAUUUUCCCGAAGUCGCAAAAAAGGGUAUGAUUCCAGAAAAAAUGGAGUGGCAAGAUUGUAAGAAUUGAAUUCAAAGAUAUGAACAAAGAGUAGGAUUUAGAAGUGUCUAAAAAUGUUGAGUAUUUUGGUGGAGCUCCGGAAAGUGAAGAGAGAAUUUUAGGGCAAAGUUUGGAGACGAAACUUGAAGCGGAAAAAGGCAUGUGAUUAUUUGCAAGUGUGUUUAUGGGUGAUUCCAAAUUAUUGGAAUAUAAUUUUUAUAGCUCCCUAAAUAUUGGGAGGAUAUGUUAUAUAGAUAAAUCACCAUGUGAGUUCCCUCAAUUUAAAUAGAUCAAAGAUCUAUGCAUUUUAUUUAAUUGAGUUAAAAAAAUGAAAUGGCAUGAUGGCAUGAUGACAUGAUGCAAUGAACAUAAUGCAAAGAUGGAUGCAAUAGACAAAACAAAUCACCCGAGAAACUCGGAAAAACAUGGAAGGCAUCUGAAGCGUCGGUCUUGGGGCGUCACAACACUCCACCACUAUAAGAGGAUCUCGUCCCGAGAUCUAGGAUGGCACCGGUGGAAAACGAAAGAGGAAGAGAAGAGGUAAAACUAAGUUGCUUCUUUGACAAAUGAGUGAAACCAAAGAACCUUGCGAGGUUGAACAAAUUGAAAGAAGAACACAAUAGAGUUGAACGAAAUUGAUGGAACUCUGGUAGAAAAGAGAAACAAGGAACACCAUGUGAACCUUGGAGGUUGCAAAUCUAUGAAUGUCGAGCACAAUGGACAACAAGGAAUUGAAACCACUCUGGUUGAAACGAGAUAAACAAGGAACAAGGAAGAAGAAAUUCGAACAGCACUCCAGUUGAAAAGAGAUACAAGACUUGAUAAGAUGAAAAGAACUUGAGUAGAGGACACAACACUCCUGCUAAACGGAUAAACAAGGAAAAGAACAUGAUCUUGACACAACUAGGUGACGGGUGAAGAGAGCAACAUCAUAAUGCCUCCAGAACAAAUGUAAGAAUGGAAUCAAAAGAACGAAGGAGAAAACAACAUCUUCUACCUCAAAUGAGCUUGAAAAAGCAUCUUUAGGAGAAGGGUCGAACGGAGUUGUUGAAAAAACCAACAACGAAAGGAGUAAGCUUGUUGUGGGCUUAUGGAAAACAUCUCGAAAUUUGAGGUGAAAUUCUGGCACUAGCGGAAACAAUAGAUUGGAUUGAUAUCAACAAGGAGACGAGAAACUUAUUUCACUAGGAGGAUAAAUGAAGAACUUGGGUCAUUUAUAAGCACCAUAAAUAGCAACAAUCCUUAGGGAAAGCGUUAGGUGAAAUAUAACCCAAGAUGACUCCAAUGAAGAGAUUGAUGGGUUGCAAAGGAUCUCAUGGACAAAUUGAAAAAUGAUGGGUUUACAAUAUGUCAUUCGGACAACUUGUGAAUCAUGAAACAUGAAGUGAAAUUGUCAAGAAUGACAUAACACCACCUCAAAAGAUAAGGGAGAAGGGAUUGAACUUUGAAAUGCAAGAUGAAGAAUACUUGAACUCCUCAAAACAACACAUGUGUUGAACACCAUGUUUAUUUUAGCUUGGUGGGUCAUGACUUCGAGAGAGAUCUUGAAGAACAAUUGAAGAAUGAACAGAAUCCUUGACGAGCCACCAUGAAGAAACUCUCGAAGAACUCCAGAUGGAUAAAAGGAAGGUCGCAAGGAAAAGAAGCUUGAAAAGAAUAAUAUGAAUCCUUGCAUUGAUUAAAUGGAGCUUCGCGAUGAUAUAACCGAGAAAAACAUGGAACUCCAGAAAGAAGGAUGAACAAAUGAAAUCAAGAAUUUUGAUGAACCUCCGUAGUGAGGAAUUAAUCACUCGGAUGAAACAAGAAUAAGAAUUACAUUAUGCUUAUCCUUCGCCAAUUUAAAUUGAUGACAAGAAACGGAUUUGGCAUACUACUUAUUCUCGUAGAAGGGAUUAAGAGAGAUAUAGCACAAACUUGAAAAGGACUUCAACGAACCACCCGUAGGAUUUGGAAAGAACGAAUGAAUUGAUACAAUAACAACGGAAGAGAAUUCUUGAACGGACCGCCAUAAGAAUUGAAAAUGAAAGUAGCAGAGGCACAAUUUACCGAGAAGAAUUGGAAAAAGAAUUAAGAUACUUGAGGGAAAUUAGAUACAUGAGAAAGAAGCGAUCAUGAACCGAUUAGAGGAUAUUUGAAUGAUGCACCGGUAAGAUUUGGAGAACAAUAGUUGAAAGCUAAGAAAUAAUAAACCUGAAUUGAUGGCCUUCGGAGAAUCAAACUGAAAAGACUCCUGAAAUGCUUUGGAUGGGUGAAAAGAAUUCUCACAGUCGAAUACAAUUAUGAGAGGAUAUCAUGAAGCUAGAACCACGAAUCUUCGAGAGAACGGAUAAGAUUGAGAGAGAAAAAUCUUCUUUGGUCUUCAAAUGUUGAGAAUGAUGAUGAGAACCACCACCAUGUUUAUUGAGGCACUCUGGAACAAUGAAGGAUAGGAAGGUUGAACCAACGAUGCAAGAAUUUGAAAGAUCUUGGAGAAAGACAUAUGAUUGAUGAUAAUUAAUUUUUACGCCAACUUUGAAAGAAUUUGAGAAUAACUCCGGGAAAGUAUGAAGAGUUAGGUAAGAUCCUGGGAAAAGACAUGUGGGUUAGGGCCCACUCAAAAGAAACACCUUCGAACGAUUUAAAAGAGAAAUUGCGCCGGUUGAUUUAAAUGGCUUGAAUGAGAUAAUAACCUCGAAAGAGCUCGAACAAUGCAGAGUGGAAACACGAAUCUUCGAGAUAUUUUCAGCACUCCGGAACAAAUGAAUAGCAAGAAGUGAAUGAUUAAGAGGUGCACCGACAUGAGAAAACAUUUGAACCGAGGAAAGGAUAUGAUCGACAAAGCUUGUAACACCCUCGAUGCGACUAUAUCUCCCACGUGUCGAGGCACGACUUAGAGGCAUAAUCGCAUUGAAGGCAUAUGUCACAAGUAAGGCAAUCUUCACAACAUCCCAUGUAAUAUAAAUAAUAAAGGGGAGAUAACAUAGUUGGCUUACACUCGCCACGUCAAUCAAGUACAUAAAUAACAUUACAUCAUCCAAACACUCAUGGCCCGACUACGACGCCAAAAUAAAAGAUAACCCAACAAGCGACACGGUCCCGAUCACCCCCAACAGGGCACCACUACUGAUCAUCAGGAAAAUAAAAUAGUAACGUUGAGAGUCCUCGUCGAACUCCCACUUGGGCUCGAGCGCGUCACCUGGAGCAGAAUCAUCAGGCCCUGCAUCUGGUUUAACAGUAAUCUGUGAGCCAUAGGGACUCACCAAUCUCGCACCCUCGCGAUCAAGACUAUUUAAGCUUAACAGGAAGGGCAAGGUAAAUAUGUGGAGCAGAAGCAAGCGACUAGCAAAUAUGGUGGCUAACCUGUUCGCAAAAGAGAGCGAGAAGAGGAGGCAAAGCACGAACGAAUAACUAGAGGGCAAACCUGCGGCAAGCAUUACUCCAACACCGUGUUCACUUCUCAGACUCCGCCGAGAAGAGACCAUCAUGGUAACUCACACUGUUGAUUCAUUUUAAUUAAGUUAAGGUUCAAGUUAUCUACAACCGGACAUUAACAAAUUCCCAUCUGCCCAUAACCGCGGGCACGGCUUUCGAAAGUUCAAAUCCCUGCAGGGGAGUCCCAACUUAGCCCAUGACAAGCUUGUCAUGGUCAACGAAGGAAUAGACCUCCUCCCGAGACGUUCCGAUCAGACUCGGUAUCUCGGUUCUUCAAGACACUUCGACAGGUUAAAACAAGACCAGCAACACCGCCCGAAUGUGCCGACAAAUCCCGAUAGGAGCUGCACAUAUCUUGUUCUCAGGGCACACUCAGAUGAGCUGUCCAUACAACUAAAACCAAACCUCGAGUUUCCCCGAUGGGGCGCUGCACAGGACUCUAGUUUGGACCAACAUUCAGAGGAGCACUGGCCCAGGGGGGGGGGCUAAAAUAAGAUGACCCUCGGGCUCCGGAAACCCAAGGGAAAAAGAGGCUAGGUGGCAAAUGGUAAAACCAAGGUUGGGCAUUGCCGGAAAAGCUUUAAUCAAGGCGAACUAUCAAGGGGUUCCCAUUACAACCCAACCGCAUAAGGAACGCAAAAUCCGGGAAUAUAACACCGAUAUGACGGAAACUAGGGCGGCAAGAGUGGAACAAAACACUAGGCGAGAGGCCGAGCCUUCCACCCUUUAUCAAGUAUAUAGAUGCAUUAAGAUAACAUGGCAAUAUAAUGAUAUCCCAACAGUAAAAUAAUGUUCCCACAAGGAACGGUCUCCAAUCUUCACCUGCAACUAGCAACGCUAUAAGAGGGGCUGAGCAAAGCGGUAACAUAGCCAAUCAACGGUUUGCUAGGACAUGGUGGGUUAGAGGUCUGACAUGGCAAUCUGGAAGGCUUGAAGGCAAGUGGUAGGCAUCGUAGCAUAGGCAUAGCAAAAGAGCGAGCAUCUAGCAAAGCAAAGAUAGUAGUGAUUUCGAGGGUAUGAUCAUCUUGCCUGCAAAGUUGUCAGAAUUGACUGGAUCCUCGAGCAAACUCAACGGGCUCCUCGUUAGCAAACUCGUCUCCUGGCUCUACCCAAACAAGACAAACAAGCAACAAGGACACAAUCAACCACGUGCAAGGCUCAAACAAUAUGAUGCAAAGAUGAUAUGCUAUGCGGGAUGCGAUGCGGGAUGCAUAUGCAAGAUGUGACAAGAAAUGCAUGAACCUGGCCUCAACUUGGAAAUCCAAGUAUGCCACUGGAAAGAUGAGAUGAAAUCGCUUGAGAACGAUAUAAAGAACGCCGGAAUCGGAGUUACGGUUUGGAAAUGGCAAGCAAUUCAAAUAUGACCAUGUUCUGCGAUUAAUAGCAAGUAGCCAUCUAAAUGCAAUGAGAUGAACAUGCUACAGCAUCCAAACAUGGCAUACAAAUACAUGGCAGGGAUGCAUUCAUGAUGCUUAACAAAAGUCUAGCACUGAGCUACGGCCAAUUCAUCCAUUAACAGGUUCAAACAAGCAUGGCAAAAAUGCAUAUGGUAAACAGAUCUCAGACUUAGUGAAAUUAACACUUGUCUGGAAUUUCAGAUCAGGUAGCACUCUUUGGAGCAACAAAACUACAUGCUAUAGGACCUGAACAUGGCAAAGUAAAGCAUGGAAUGGAUCUACUCAAAGAGCUUAACAAAAGUCCCUUAGUGACCUUGAGCCAAAAGGGAUCAGAAAAUACAUUUGCAAGCAUGUGAACAUGGAAAAAACAUAAUCAGUUCUCAGACUUAGUGAAAACUGGAACAUGCUGAAACAGAUAUCAAGUAGGCAUGUUUACGAGCUCGAUGCACUCACUACAGAGCAAGUCAUGGCAAUCUAAGCAUACACCCAUCAAGAAUACACAAAAUGCAAGCUAUACAUGGCAAGAACAAUAACAUAGCAUGCACGGAUCAACUACAACUUCCUCGGCAAAAUCGCUAACAAGUAGACAAUCUGCCCAGAUUCACGAAAUAGCAAAAGUAGAGCUCGAUUGACUCAAGCUAGGGUGCUCCAUAAUUGCAAACAAAGACAUGGAUGGAUAGAGCACUACAAGAUUAACAAAACAUCCUUACUGAUCAUCCCCAAAAGUGGCACGGAUCAUUAGGAAACAACAUGAACAUAUGGCCAUAUGAGAUAAACAGCUCAAGGACUUAGUGGAAAUGCUAAAUCCCUGAAAUCAGCAUUACCAAGUGCCUCACUUUGCAAGCUUGUGCUAGUCACCACACACAUCACAAAAAUACAUGGGUUGCACCUCUGGAAAGAUGGCAAAACCCUUAACAAAACAUAUGUAGAGCUCAUGGGCAUAUCAUGCACACAAUAAUCAUGGCAAAAAUGACAAAUAGCUAAAUGGAGCAGCAAAUCUGACAAUUAUCUCAAGUAGCACUCUUCUAACAGCAUUUCGGGCAUCAAGAUGAACUCAAAUGAAAAUGAUGCAAUGGAAUGAAAUGAUGUGCUCUCUGAGACGAACAUUUUGAUAUGCUAUAUGCCAAAAGAGGAGUUACGGAUGAGGAGUUACGAUGCGAUGAACAGGAGCAUAUGAACUAGGGUUUCGAGAAAAAAAGUCAACCGUCUCCGGAUCUAGAUCUGGCGGGUUACCGUAGCUGCAAGCAAUCCGAGGAUCGCCGGAAUCAGCGCCAGAGUUGGAGGAGUGGUGGCCGGCGAGGUGGGGGCGAUGCGGGUCGCCGGCGGGAGCGCGGGCUCCGGCGCGGCGGAGCCNNNNNNNNNNNNNNNNNNNNNNNNNNNNNNNNNNNNNNNNNNNNNNNNNNNNNNNNNNNNNNNNNNNNNNNNNNNNNNNNNNNNNNNNNNNNNNNNNNNNNNNNNNNNNNNNNNNNNNNNNNNNNNNNNNNNNNNNNNNNNNNNNNNNNNNNNNNNNNNNNNNNNNNNNNNNNNNNNNNNNNNNNNNNNNNNNNNNNNNNNNNNNNNNNNNNNNNNNNNNNNNNNNNNNNNNNNNNNNNNNNNNNNNNNNNNNNNNNNNNNNNNNNNNNNNNNNNNNNNNNNNNNNNNNNNNNNNNNNNNNNNNNNNNNNNNNNNNNNNNNNNNNNNNNNNNNNNNNNNNNNNNNNNNNNNNNNNNNNNNNNGUGGCGCGACGGGAGUGGGCGGCGGCGAUGUCCGGCGCGCGGACGGACGUGUCCGGCGCGCAGAUGAGGAGCGGGGCUAGGUUUAGGGCGGUUUGGAUCCGGAAUUUCGGGGAGGGGAUAUUUAUAGAGGUAGGAGGAGCUAGGAGAGUCCAAAUGAGGUGCGGUUUUCGGCUACGCGAUCGUGAUCGAACGCUCCAGAUGAUGGAGAGGGUUUUGGUGGGUUUUGGGCCAAAUUGGAGGGGUGUUGGGCUGCAACACACACGAGGCCUUUUCGGUCCCUCGGUUAACCGUUGGAGUAUCAAACGAAGUCCAAAUAGUACGAAACUUGGCAGGCGGUCUACCGGUAGCAAACCAAGGCCGCUUGGCAAGUCCCGGUCCAAUCCGGAAAUGUUUAAUCCCCACACACGAAAGAAAGGUAGAAUUGACCAUCGGAGGAGAACGAAGCGCCGGAAUGCAAAACGGACAACGGGGAAAAUGCUCGAAUGCAUGAGAUGAACAUGUAUGCAAAUGCAAUGCACAUGAUGACAUGAUAUGAGAUGCAUGACAACGAUAACAACACACGGAGACAAAGACCCGGAUCCGAGAAAAUAAAAUAACUUAAUGCCGGAAACGGCAAGAGUUGGAGUACAAAUUGGGUAAAUCAUAUCCGGGGUGUUACAACACUCCACCACUAUGAAAGGAUCUCGUCCCGAGAUCUAGGACAGAAAGAACGUCGGGUAAUCAGAACGGAGGUGAUCCUCGCGUUCCCAGGUAGCUUCACGGUCGGAAUGGUGUGACCACUUGACUUUGAGGAAUUUGAUUGACUUGUUGCAAGCCUUGCGUUCAGUCUCUUCAAGAAUAGCAAUGGGGUGCUCACGAUAGGAGAGAUCUUCUUGGAGCUCAAUGUCCUCGAAGUUGACGGUGUGGUCAGGAGUCUUGAAGCACUUUCGGAGCUGAGAGACAUGGAACACAUCAUGAACAUUUGCAAAGUUUGAAGGAAGCUCGAGUUGAUGGGCGAGAUCGCCUCUCUUGCUAACAAUCUUGAAAGGUCCCACGUAUCUGGGGGCAAGCUUCCCUUUGAUACCGAAGCGACGAGUACCUUUCAUAGGAGAGACGCGGAGGUAAACAUGAUCUCCGAUCUCGAAAGCCAAAUCACAGUGUUUACUGUCAUAGUAGCUUUUCUGGCGGGAUUGGGCUGCUUUGAGGUUAUCUCGAAUGACUUUGCACAUUUCCUCUGCCUUUAUGAUUAAGUCAUUUCCCAAAAGCUGACGUUCACCGGUUUCGGACCAGUUGAGAGGGGUACGACACUUCCUGCCAUACAGAAUUUCAAAUGGGGCCUUGCCCGAACUUGCUUGAAAACUAUUGUUGUAGGAGAAUUCAGCAUAAGGAAGACAAUCCUCCCACUUCAUGCCGAAGGAGAUCACACAAGCCCUGAGCAUAUCUUCAAGAAUCUGAUUGACACGCUCGACUUGACCGCUAGUUUGAGGAUGGAAAGCUGUGCUGAAGCGGAUGUUGGUACCCAUGGCCUUCUGAAAAGAAUCCCAAAACUUGGAGGUAAAGAUGCUGCCACGGUCUGAAGAGAUCACUUGUGGGAUACCGUGCAGAGAGACAAUUCGAGAGGUAUAGAGUUCCGCCAAUUGAGCUGCAGUGAUUGACUCUUUGAUAGGCAGAAAGUGAGCCACUUUAGUGAGUUUGUCGAUGACAACGAAUAUAGCAUCAUUGCCACGCUUGGACUUUGGAAACCCAGUCACGAAGUCCAUUUCAAUGUGGUCAAACUUCCAUUCUAGAAUGGCAAGAGGUUGGAGGAGACCAGCUGGCCUUUGGUGUUCUACCUUCACUCUUCUGCAGACAUCACACUCAUUCGCGAAUUGAGCAAUCUCGCGCUUCAUUCGAGUCCACCAAUAAGCCUGCUUGAGGUCCUGAUACAUCUUCGUACUCCCAGGGUGGAUGGAGAGGAGAGAAUUGUGAGCCUCGUUCAUGAUCACUUUACGAAGUUCACCUUUGGGUACAACAAUACGAUCCUCGAAGAAGAGAGUAUCCUUGUCAUCAAGGCGGUAGCACUUGUAUUUGGGUUGACUCUUGGCAAUCCCAAUCUUCACCUUUUUCACCAUAGCAUCAAGAAGCUGAGCUUGGCGAAUCUGGUCUUCCAAGGUAGGAGAGACUUGAAGGUUGGCGAGGAAACCUUGAGGAACAACUUGCAGAUUAAGUUUGCGGAAAGCUUCACAAAGCUCGGGUUGAUAAGGCUUGAGAAUCAGACUAUUGCAAUAAGCCUUCCUGCUCAAUGCGUCAGCAAUCACAUUGGCCUUGCCUGGAGUAUACUCGAUACUCGGAUUAUACUCUUGAAUCAUUUCGACCCAUCGAGUUUGCCUGAGGUUGAGGUUAGGCUGAGUGAAGAUGUACUUGAGACUCUUGUGGUCGGUGAAGAUGUCCACUUUUCUUCCCAAUAAGAGAUGUCUCCAAGUCAAAAGAGCAUGCACAACUGCCGCCAACUCGAGAUCAUGAGUGGGGUAGUUCUUCUCAUUGGGCUUCAACUGGCGAGAGGUAUAAGCAACAACUUUCUUCUCUUGCAUCAACACUGCGCCAAGACCUUGGAGAGAGGCAUCACAAAAGACCUCGUACGGCUUGGAUUCAUCAGGAGGAGUCAGAACUGGAGCAGUGAUCAAUUUCUCUUUCAAAGUGUUGAAAGCAAUGUCACACUCCGGAGACCAAACAUACUUGACGUGCUUCUGGAGAAGAUUCGAGAGAGGCUUUGCGAUCUUAGAAAAGUUCUCAAUGAAUCUUCGGCAGUAGCUUGCGAGACCGAGGAAGCUACGGAGUUGCUUCACGUUCUGAGGAGGUUCCCAAUUCACAAUUGCAGACACCUUCUCAGGAUUCACGGCAAUGCCCUUGGCAGAGAUGAUAUGACCAAGAUAAAGAACCUCAUCGAGCCAAAAUUCGCACUUGGAGAACUUGGCGUAGAACUGGUGUUCCCUCAGCUUAUCGAGUACCAAACGCAAGUGCUUGGCAUGAUCUUCCUUGUUCUUCGAGAAAACCAGAAUGUCGUCGAGAUAGACCAAAACGAAGUCAUUGGUGUAGGCAUUGAAGAUGAAGUUCAUCAUGCGAGAGAAAGUCGGAGGAGUGUUGACGAGGCCAAAAGACAUGACAGUGUAUUCAUAUGAACCAUAGCUUGUCCUGAAAGCCGUCUUGGGAAUAUCUUGUUCACGGAUUCGAAUCUGAUGAUAACCCAUACGGACAUCAAGCUUGGAGAAUACUUGGGCACCUUUGAGUUGUUCGAACAGCUCAUUGAUGUUGGGAAGUGGGUAUUUGUUCUUGAUGGUCUUCUUGUUCAAUGGACGGUAAUCAACACAAAGUCGGUCCGUUCCAUCCUUCUUCUUCACAAAAAGAACACCACAACCCCAUAGAGAAGAACUAGGCCGGAUGAGACCCAUUCUCUCUUGAAUAUCGAGUUGCUUCUUCAGCUCCUUCAACUCUUCAGGUCCGAGCUUGUAAGGACGCUUGCACACAGGUUCCGUACCGGGUUCAAGAUCAAUGAUGAAUUCAACUGGCUGGUGUGGAGGCAUUCCUGGGAGCUCUUCUGGAAACACGUCUUGAUAUUCGCAAACGACUGGAAUUUGCAAGAUAGCAUCGAGUUCACCCUUCUCAUUGAGAGAAAACAGACGGAUGGUAUCAUCACGAGCGGCAAAGACAAUUACAUCCUCAGACGAAUGAGUCAACUGAAUCUGCCUGGCAGCACAAUCAAGAUGCGCCUUGUGCUUAGAAAGCCAAUCCAUUCCGAGAAUAAGAUCAAUAUCUGAGUCACCCAGAACAAUAGGAGAAGCUAGAAAUUUGUAGUCGCCCAACGUGAUAGUAAUAUCCAGGACGCAUAAAUUAGCUGUCAUUUGCUUGCCCAGUGACACGAUUUGCAAGGAAUUUUGCAGAUACUGAUAAUCGCACUCAUACUUCGAUGCAAAAGGUUUGGAAAUAAAACAAUGCGAUGCACUAGUGUCAAAAAGAACUUUUGCAGGGAUAUCGUUAACAAGAAGGUUACCCAUGAUCACUUCUGAUGAGUCCUCUGCCUGAGCUGCGUUCAUCAAGUUGACCUUGGCGUGCUUGGGGUUAUGCUUGACCACAGCUGUACUUGCCGAUCUCACAGGAAGAGGAGGAGGAAGACGCCUCUGGUUGAGACACUUGUUGGCAUAGUGACCCUUCUGUUGGCACUUGUUGCACGUGACCUCUGAAAGCGGACGGUGGUAUGGAGCACUCGAUCUUGGAGCUUGAGACGAAGUCUUGUUCUGAAAGCCAGGGUUGGGUGGGUGGGAAGAUCCACUGCCACCUUUGCUCUUCUGCCGAUACGGCUGACGGAACGGAGGAGGAGGAAGCCAAUACUUCUGCUGCUUGGCCACUUGAGUAGAGGAAGAAGGAGUAGUGUCUCUGACUCGCUUCUUGGAAGCAUCACACCUCAGUUGAGCGGCCUCUUGCUUCAAUGCCAUGUUGUAGAACUCAUCGUACCUCAAGGGCUCAAAGAGAACAAGAGCUAGCUGAAUUUCUUCUCUGAGACCACCCCUGAACUGGUAUAUCAUGCUCUUCUCAUUAGGGACGUUCUGCUUGGCAAAGCGGGCGAGCUUCUGGAACAACUUGUUGUAGUCAUAGACAGACAAAGAGCCUUGCUUCAGGUUGCGGAAUUCCUCACGCUUGCUUUCAACCACGCUCUGAGGGAUAUGAUGAGCUCUGAAAUCUUGAUGGAAUUCAUCCCAAGUGAUCACACGUCCACCUCUGGAAUCCUUGUACUGCUGGAAUCGUUCUGCAGCUUUAUCUUUGAGUUGGAAGGAAGCGAACUUGACGAAGUCCUCAGGCCUGACGUUACUGCACUCGAAAUGCUUGCACAGAUCCACGAGCCAAUCGUCAGCAUCGGUUGCCUCAACACAAUUGCUGAAAGUCUUUGGCCCGUUAGCAAGGAACUGGUUGAGUGUAGCAAAGUGAUUCUGAUUGUUGCCUUAGUUCCCUUGGUUGCCUUGAUUGCGCUCUUGAAGAAUUUGCAUGAUCAACUGUGUGUUUGCAUUGGUUGCGGCCAUCACAGCUUGCCAUGCCUCCGGAGGAGGUGGAGGUGGUGGCGGAUCUUGAUUCUGAUUCUGAUUGGUGCUCUUAGCGGGAGCCAUCCUGAAGAGGUUGACCACCAUUAGCACAUAGACAGAUAAAUGAAGCUGAAUCCAACGGAAUGAAAAUUGCAACAUAUAGUCUUCACAUCCGAACAAAAUGAACGAAUGCAUUCCUCUUGAAAUGGUCACAUAUCCAUAAAUUGAGAAGCCACUUAGAAUUUAGGUAGAGAAAUAAAUCAACAAGGUACGGAUCAAGAACGAAUACUCGGUAAGAAAUUCCAAUCUCAAACAAAAUAUCCGUGGAAGAAGAACUAGAGCUACGAGAAUUCCCGCCUAUGAAACUCCCGAACCUUUCCGGUUAUGCAAUCAGGUGUUGGGGAUACAGGGGAAGCAUAAUAUCUCACCCAAUUCUAGCAAAUCCUACAUCCAGCUGUAUCCAUCCUUCAACACAUAACCGAGAAAAACUUUGGAAACCAUCUACCUCAACCUUCGAAAAGCAUCCAUUAUACAAGUUAUGGCGAUACUCCCGAACUCCCGCCCCAGUAUUGGGUGGCGUCGAGGUUAUCUCACCAACGAACUGCAUAAAAGAGAUUUUCGAUGUCGGCGUACUAAACUCAGGUAUUUCAGAACUGCAACGAUAAAAUUAUGACGACAACACCUCAGAGCUCAACUCCCCGGGACACUUCCACAAAACCCCUGACACGAGGCACCAAGACAAUGUUCUCGUCAUAAAACCAUCGGAACGAUUCCAAGAUACCCGCGUGAUCCUAAUUUUUUUAGUGAAAUUUGAGAAGAGAAGAGUCAAAACUCUACGUCAGGAUGCCUUACCAGAGCGAUGAGGAGACUGGGGAGUAAAAGAAUUCCUAAACUCUCCGAUAUAUAAUUCUUAAAUGACUCAAAACAUUUUUUCUAGACACAACUCAGCCGCUAAUAACGAUCAAUCAGUGGGGGCUCCUAAGGUCGGGGAAGGCUCUGAUUACCAACUUGUAACACCCUCGAUACGACUAUAUCUCCCACGUGUGGAGGCACGACUUAGAGGCAUAAUCGCAUUGAAGGCAUAUGUCGCAAGUAAGGCAAUCUUCACAACAUCCCAUGUAAUAUAAAUAAUAAAGGGAAGAUAACAUAGUUGGCUUACACUCGCCACGUCAAUCAAGUACAUAAAUAACAUUACAUCAUCCAAACACUCAUGGCCCGACUACGGCGCCAAAAUAAAAGAUAACCCAACAAGCGACACGGUCCCGAUCACCCCCAACAGGGCACCACUACUGAUCAUCAGGAAAAGAAACAUAAUAACGUUGAGAGUCCUCGUCGAACUCCCACUUGAGAUCGAGCGCGUCACCUGGAGCGGAAUCAUCAUGCCCUGCAUCUGGUUUAUUAGUAAUCUGUGAGCCACAGGGACUCAGCAAUCUCGCACCCUCGCGAUCAAGACUAUUUAAGCUUAAUAGGAAGGGCAAGGUAAAUAUGUGGAGCAGCAGCAAGCGACUAGCAAAUAUGGUGGCUAACUUGUUCGCAAAAGAGAGCGAGAAGAGGAGGCAAAGCGCGAACGAAUAACUAGAGGGCAAACCUGCGGCAAGCAUUACUCCAACACCGUGUUCACUUCCCGGACUCCGCCGAGAAGAGACCAUCAGGGUAACUCACACUGUUGAUCAUUUUAAUUAAGUUAAGGUUCAAGUUAUCUACAACCGGACAUUAACAAAUUCCCAUCUGCCCAUAACCGCGGGCACGGCUUUUGAAAGUUCAAAUCCCUGCAGGGGAGUCCCAACUUAGCCCAUGACAAGCUCUCACGGUCAACAAAUGAAUAGACCUCCUCUCGAGACGUUCCGAUCAGACUCGGUAUCUUGGUUCUUCAAGACACUUCGACAGGUUAAAACAAGACCAGCAACACUGCCCGAAUGUGCCGACAAAUCCCGAUAGGAGCUGCACAUAUCUCGUUCUCAGGGCACACUCAGAUGAGCUCUCCAUACAACUAAAACCAAACCUCGAGUUUCCCCGAGGGGGCGCUGCACAGGACUCUAGUUUGGACCAACACUCAAAGGAGCACUGGCCCAGGGGGGGCUAAAAUAAGAUGACCCUCGGGCUCCAGAAACCCAAGGGAAAGAGAGGCUAGGUGGAAAAUGGUAAAACCAAGGUUGGGCAUUGCUGGAAAAGCUUUAAUCAAGGCGAACUAUCAAGGGGUUCCCAUUACAACCCAACCGCGUAAGGAACGCAAAAUCCGGGAAUAUAACACCGAUAUGACGGAAACUAGGGCGGCAAGAGUGGAACAAAACACUAGGCGAGAGGCCCAACCUUCCACCCUUUACCAAGUAUAUAGAUGCAUUAAGAUAACAUGGCAAUAUAAUGAUAUCCCAACAAGUAAAAUAAUGUUCCCACAAGGAACGGUCUCCAAUCUUCACCUGCAACUAGCAACGCUAUAAGAGGGGCUGAGCAAAGCGGUAACAUAGCCAAUCAACGGUUUGCUAGGACAUGGUGGGUUAGAGGUCUGACAUGGCAAUUUGGAAGGCUUGAAGGCAAGUGGUAGGCAUCGUAUCAUAGGCAUAGCAAAAGAGCGAGCAUCUAGCAAAGCAAAGAUAGUAGUGAUUUCGAGGGUAUGAUCAUCUUGCCUGCAAAGUUGUCAGAGUUGACUGGAUCCUCGAGCAAACUCAAUGGGCUCCUCGUUAGCAAACUCGUCUCCCGGCUCUACCCAAACAAGACAAACAAGCAACAAGGACACAAUCAACCACGUGCAAGGCUCAAACAAUAUGAUGCAAAGAUGAUAUGCUAUGCGGGAUGCGAUGCGGGAUGCAUAUGCAAGAUGUGACAAGAAAUACAUGAACCUGGCCUCAACUUGGAAAUCCAAGUAUGCCAUUGGAAAGAUGAGAUGAAAUCGCUUGAAAACGAUAUAAAGAACGCCGGAAUCGGAGUUACGAUUUGGAAAUGGCAAGCAAUUCAAAUAUGACCAUGUUCUGCGAUUAACAGCAAGUAGCCAUCUAAAUGCAACAAGAUGAACAUGCUACAGCACCCAAACAUGGCAUAAAAAUACAUGGCAUGGAUGCAUUCAUGAUGCUUAACAAAAGUCUAGCACUAAGCUACGGCCAAUUCAUCCAUUAACAGGUUCAAACAAGCAUGGCAAAAAUGCAUAUGGUAAACAGAUCUCAGACUUAGUGAAAUUAACACUUGUCUGGAAUUUCAGAUCAGGUAGCACUCUUUGGAGCAACAAAACUACAUGCUACAGGACCUGAACAUGGCAAAGUAAAGCAUGGAAUGGAGCUACUCAAAGAGCUUAACAAAAGUCCCUUAGUGACCUUGAGCCAAAAGGGAUCAGAAAAUACAUUUGCAAGCAUGUGAACAUGGCAAACACAUAAUUAGUUCUCAGACUUAGUGAAAACUGGAACAUGCUAAAACAGAUAUCAAGUAGGCAUGUUUACGAGCUCGAUGCACUCACUACAGAGCAAGUCAUGGCAAUCUAAGCAUACACCCAUCAAGAAUACACAAAAUGCAAGCUAGACAUGGCAAGAACAAUAACAUAGCAUGCAUGGAUCAACUACAACAUCCUCGGCAAAAUCGCUAACAAGUAGAUAAUCUGGCCAGAUUCACGAAAUAGCAAAAGUAGAGCUCGAUUGACUCAAGCUAGGGUGCUCCAUAAUUGCAAACAAAGACAUGGAUGGAUAGAGCACUACAAGAUUAACAAAAUAUCAUUACUAAUCAUCCCCAAAAGAGGCACGGAUCAUUAUGAAACAAUAUGAACAUAUGGCCAUAUGAGAUAAACAGCUCAAGGACUUAGUGGAAAUGCUAAGUCCCUGAAAUCAGCAUUACCAAGUGCCUCACUUUGCAAGCUUGUGCUAGUCACCACACACAUCACAAAAAUACAUGGGUUGCACCUCUGGAAAGAUGGCAAAACCCUUAACAAAAUAUAUGUAGAGCUCAUGGGCAUAUCAUGCACACAAUAAUCAUGGCAAAAAUGACAAAUAGCUAAAUGGAGCAGCAAAUCUGACAAUUAUCUCAAGUAGCACUCUUCUAACAGCAUUUCGGGCAUCAAGAUGAACUCAAAUGAAAAUGAUGCAAUGGAAUGAAAUGAUGUGCUCUCCGGGGCGAACAUUUUGAUAUGCUAUAUGCCAAAAACGGAUUUACAGAUGAGGAGUUACGUGCGAUGAACAGGAGCAUAUGAACUAGGGUUUCGGGAAAAAAAGUCAACCGUCUCCGGAUCUAGAUCUGGCGGGUUACUGUAGCUACAAGCAAUCCGAGGAUCGCCGGAAUCAGCGUCGGAGUUAGAGGAGUGGUGGCCGGCGAGGUGGGGUUCGCCGGAUCUGGCCGGGGCGACGCGGGUCGCCGGCGGGGGNNNNNNNNNNNNNNNNNNNNNNNNNNNNNNNNNNNNNNNNNNNNNNNNNNNNNNNNNNNNNNNNNNNNNNNNNNNNNNNNNNNNNNNNNNNNNNNNNNNNNNNNNNNNNNNNNNNNNNNNNNNNNNNNNNNNNNNNNNNNNNNNNNNNNNNNNNNNNNNNNNNNNNNNNNNNNNNNNNNNNNNNNNNNNNNNNNNNNNNNNNNNNNNNNNNNNNNNNNNNNNNNNNNNNNNNNNNNNNNNNNNNNNNNNNNNNNNNNNNNNNNNNNNNNNNNNNNNNNNNNNNNNNNNNNNNNNNNNNNNNNNNNNNNNNNNNNNNNNNNNNNNNNNNNNNNNNNNNNNNNNNNNNNNNNNNNNNNNNNNNNNNNNNNNNNNNNNNNNNNNNNNNNNNNNNNNNNNNNNNNNNNGGAUGGAGUGGCGGCGCGCCACGUGGCGCGACGGGAGUGGGCGGCGGCAAUGUCCGGCGCGCGGACGGACGUGUCCGGCGCGCAGAUGAGGAGCGGGGCUAGGUUUAGGGUGGUUUGGAUUCGAAAUUUCGGGGAGGGGAUAUUUAUAGAGGUAGGAGGAGCUAGGAGAGUCCAAAUGAGGUGCGGUUUUCGGCCACGCGAUCGUGAUCGAACGCUCUAGAUGAUGGAGAGGGUUUUGGUGGGUUUUGGGCCAAAUUGGAGGGGUGUUGGGCUGAAACACACACGAGGCCUUUUUGGUCCCUCGGUAACCGUUGGAGUAUCAAACGAAGUCCAAAUGGUACGAAACUUGGCAGGCGGUCUACCGGUAGCAAACCAAGGCCGCUUGGCAAGUCUCUGUCCAAUCCGGAAAUAUUUAAUCCCCACACACGAAAGAAAGGUAGAAUUGACCAUUGGAGGAGAACGAAGCGCUGGAAUGCAAAACGGACAACGGGGAAAAUGCUCGAAUGCAUGAGAUGAACACGUAUGCAAAUGCAAUGCACAUGAUGACAUGAUAUGAGAUGCAUGACAAUGAUAACAACACACAGAGACAAAGACCUGAACCCGAGAAAAUAAAAUAACUUAACGCCGGAAAAGGCAAGAGUUGGAGUACAAAUUGGGUAAAUCAUAUCCGGGGUGUUACAAAGCUUGAAUUGAAUACAUCGGAGAAGAAAGAGAACGAAGAAUGAUGAGCUUGUAGAGCAUCUUCAUGAGAACCACCGGGUAAGAACAUUGAUUGAAAAUAAUGAAGAGACUUCACAUGAAUAAAAUGGAUACUUGAUUAAGACAUCUGAUUCCUUGAAGGAAAAGGGUGGGAGGGCGGGAAAACAAAGACAACUUGAAACGGAUGAAACGAAAACCGUUGGAAAAAACUGAGGGGUGAUAAUGGUAAAAAUGAUAGGAUCAUCUUGAAGGAAAACGCACCAGAUGAAAAGGAGUGACUUGACAAUCUCGAUUAUCAUGAAGGAUUAGUAUUCACAUAGAAAUAUGAGAACACCGCUUGGAAAAGGUAUGGAAUCAACACUUGACUUCGAAGCAACUCGAAUACCACAACUCAAAACAAAACAAAGGAUUUGGCUCGCAGAAUAAGCCAGAAACAAACAUAUGAUAGAUCCCAUAUCGUAUCAUGUGUCUGUUGGAAAGAUAUCCUACGUGAUACUUGAAUUCCCACUUAUAAACUCCCGAAAAUUUCUAGUUAUGCAAUCAGGUGUUGGGCAUACAGGAGAAGCAUAAUAUCUCACCCAAAAUAGCAAAUCCUACAUCCAGCUGUAUCCAUCCUUCAACACAUAACCAAGAAACCUUCGGAAAUCAUUUACCUCAACCUUCAAAAAGCAUCGUUAUACGAGUUAUGGCAAUACUCCCGAACUCCCGCCCCAGUACUGGGUGGCGUCGAGGUUAUCUCACCAACAACUGCAUAAAAGAGAUUUUCGAUGGCAGCGAACUCAGGUAUUCCAGAACUGCAAUGAUAAAAUUGUGAUGACAACACAUCGGAGCUCACCUCCCCGGGACACUGCCACAACCCCUAAAUGUCAGGAGGCACCAAGAACAAUGUUCUCGUCACAAGAAUAUCGGAACGAUUCCAAGAUACCUGCGUGAUCCUAAAUUUUUUUAGUGAAAUUUGAGGAGAGAAAAAGUCAAAACUUCUACGUCAGGAGGCUUCACCAGAGCGACGAAGAGACUGAGAAGUAAAAAGAAACCUACUCUACGAUAUAUAGAAUCCUAAGACUCAAAACAUUUUGUUCUAGACUCAACAACGUCAGCGAUUCGAUCAAGCAGGGGGAUCCUAAGUCAGGGAAGGCUCUGAUUACCAACUUGUAACACCCACAAUGAGGCUAUAUCUCCCACGUGUCGGGGCAUGACUUAGAGGCAUAGCCGCAUGGUAGGUCUGUCGCAAGAGGGGUAAUCUUUACACAUCCCAUGUACUGAAUAAGAAAGGGAUAAAGAGUCGGCUUACAAUCGCCACUUCAUGCAAUACAUAAAUAAUCCAUACAUCAUCCAGAAUACAAUCAAGGUCUGACUACGCAACCAAAAUAAAGAAAGACCACCCCAAAUGCUAGAUCCCCGAUCAUCCCAACUGGGCUCCACUACUGACCAAUAGGAAACGAAACAAGACAACGAUCAAGAUCUUCAUCGAGCUCCCACUUGAGCUGGGUUAUGUCACCUGCACUGGUAUCAUCGCACCUGCAACUGUUUGGAAGUAUAUGUGAGUCACGAGGACUCAACAAUCUCACACCCGCGAGAUUAGGACUAUUUAAGAUUAUAUGUAGGAAAGGGUAGUGAGGUGGAGCUGCAGCAAAGCACUAAGCAUAUGUGGUGGCUAACUUACGCAAAUAAGAGCGAGAAGAGAAGCAACGCAACGGUCGUGAACUAGAAGUAAUCCUGAAACUACUUACGUUCAAGCAUAACACAAGGACCGUGUUCACUUCCCGGACUCCGCCGAAAAGAGACCAUCACGGCUACACACGGUUGAUGCAUUUUAAUUAAGUUAAGUGUCAACUUAUCUCCAACCGGAUAUUAACAAAUUCCCUUUUGCCACGUAACCGCGAGCACGACUUUCGAAAGUUUAUACCCUGCAGGGAUGUCCCAACUUAGCCCAUCACAAGCUCUCACGGUCAACGAAGGAUAUUCCUUCUCCCAGGAAGACCCGAUCAGACUCGGAAUCCCAAUUACAAGGCAUUUCGAUAAUGGUAAAACAAGAUCAGCAAGACCGCCCGGAUGUGCCGACAAAUCCCGAUAGGAGCUGCACAUAUCUCGUUCUCAGGGCACAACGGAUAAGCUAAGCAUACAGGUACCAACAUAACCCAAGUUGCCAAGGGACGGUCCCGCAUGGUGCUCUGGUUCGGACCAACACUUAGAGAAGCACUGGCCCAGGGGGGUUAAAAUAAGAUGACCCUCAGGCUCGCGAAAACCCAAGGGAAGGUUAUAGGUUGUUAGGCAAAUGUAAAACCAAGGUUGGGCCUUGCUGGAGGAGUUUUAUUCAAAGCGAACUGUGAAGGGGUUGCCAUAACACCCAACCGCGUAAGGAACGCAAAAUCAAGGAACAUAACACCGGUGUGACGGAAACUAGGGUGGCAAGAGUGGAACAAAACACCAGGCAUAAGGCCGAGCCUUCCACCCUUUACCAAGUAUAUAGAUGCAUUAACUAAAAUAAGAGAUAUUGUGAUAUCCCAACAAAUCCAUGUUCCAACAUGGAACAAACUUCAACUUCACCUGGAACUAGCAACGCUAUAAGAGGGGCUGAGCAAAAGCGAUAACAUAGCCAAACAACGGUUUGCUAGGAAGGUGGGUUAGAGGCUUGACAUGGCAAUAUGGGAGGAAUGAUAUAACAAGUGGUAGGUAGCGCAACAUAGCGAUCUACUAGCAAGCAAAGAUAGAAGUGAUUUCGAGGGUAUGUCAUCUUGCCUGAGAUCCUGCAAGGAAGAAGAACGAGUCCAUGAAGAAGGCAAACGGACAUAGUCGAACGGAUCCUCACAACUCCAGAACAAAACCGAAGCUAACGAGAGAAGCAACCCGGAAAGAAGCAAGCAACAUAGUAAACAACCAUCACAUGAAUAUGGCAUGAUGCACAACCAAGGAUGAUGCAUGUCCGGUUUAAAUAUGCAUGGCAUGGCAAAGUGCACAAACAACACUACAAGUUAAGUGGAGCUCAAUAUGCAACGAGUUGCAUAUUGAUGAAACACCACAUUUGAUUAUUUAGUUCACUCCCGUUUAUGUACUCAACAAUAUUAAAUGUUGUUAAACAUUGCAAGAGAUGAAGCAAAAGUAAACUACACAAUCUAAGCAAUUUAAAUGGGGCCGGAAACAUCAAACAACAGUUCCGAUAAAUCCCCAUAUGCAUUUAGCAAUUUAAAGCAAACAACAAUUUUAAACAUUCUUGAUGUUGUUAUCAUGAUGCGGAUGACAUGUGCAAGUUUAUGCAAAUUGUAUUAAAAGUUGACAUGAGCAUAUUAUGAAGCAUUUGUCAUCAUGGUGGAAACGAAAGGGGUGAAACGAAAGGGGUGCCACGACAACAAAUCCGAAAAUGAUGCUACGGCAACAUAUCAGUUCCGGUAGCUCAUGGAGAUACCGGUGCAAAAGGAAAAGUGACGGGAGCGUGUCAUGCAAGGAUGGUGGGGUGGUCUCGGAUACCGGGUUCCCACGAGUCGACGACGGUGCCAAGCGAGGGAAACAACUAGCGUUCACAGGAGGAUACAACAUCCAAACAUGCAUCUCAUACAACACAUGCAUUCGUUCACGGGCGGUCGUCUCGGGGUUAUACCUUCGAAGCGCGCAAACGGGACAGUUCUCGUUUGGUGCAAAGUAGAGGAAGUAGACGUUCUCGGGAUGUUCGUAGUGGAGGUAGUCGUUCACGGCGACGGUAGUUGUACACGGGUCUUCGGCCACGGAAGUAGUCGCACAAUGUUUUUGUAGAGGUUCGGGGUCACGACAUGGAACUUGACGUCCACGGUGUCUUUGCGGGUGGACGGUAGUGGUACUUGGCAAAAUGCACGUCGACGGUAGUUGUUCUUGUAUCAUCGUGGAAGUAGUCGUACUCGACAAUAGUGGUACCCGUCUUCGUAGAUGUUCAAGUCAUCGGUAGCGGUACUUGGUGAAACCCGAAACGGUCUUGGCGUCUUCGCGCGUAGGGGUACUUGGCGUUUCACUAGACUUGACGAUUCCGGAGACGAUGGUAGACGAAUUUGGUAGUCCAGGGUACUUGGUGUGCAGCGAGCAACGUUGUGGUGUAUAGGUGCAUCGGUGGUCUCGAUCACGUAAGUGUUACCGAGAUGCGGCUGUUAUAGCCACAUGAACAUGAGCAUGGCGCUAGACUCGGACAAGGCCGAAGGAGGCCUCGGCAAGGAGGAGAGCAGCGGGGUAGAGGAGAUCCCGCGAGGAGGCAGCAAAUGUGCGGCUCCUUAGCAGAGAGGUCGUGGCCAUGGGAGGAUCUGAGAGCUCGGAACCGUGGCGAAGAAGAGAGCAACGGGGUUUUGCGGACAUGGUACUCACAGCAGCAGGAGAAGAGAAGAAAAAGGUGACCGGGAGGGGCGGCAAGCGGACGUGGCUCCGACGGAGAUACUCGCUGGCGGCGGCCAGAAAGGCAGGGCCCCGGCGUGAUGGAGGCGGAUCAGAGGAGCGGUGGAGUAGAGCAGGCGCUGGCGGCGGCGCUGGCUGGAGCGAGGUGGAGGCACUCGGUCCUCGGGCACGAGCGGGGAAGGAGAGGUGGCCGUGGUAGGUUCCGGGCGGCGCUCGGCGGCGACAGACUUGAAGGCGGGGCGGUGACGUGGUGUUCCACUCCUUCUUCUGCUCCUUCGACGAGAAGAGUUGGCGGCGGGGACGAGGUGGCGUAGGGUCGGGCGAGGUGCCCUGGCAGCGGCGCUAGGAGGGGGGUGAGGGGAUCGGGCGUCUCCCUUGGAGCCGCUGGGUGCGGUUCCUGUGGGCGAGCGAGGAGAGGGGGAGAGAUGGGGAUCGGGCCAGAGGCUCUGGCGGCGCGAGAGAGAGAUCGAGGAGAGCAAGGGAUCGGGCUAGCGAGCGGCUAGGGUUAGGUGCGGUUGGGCCUUGGGCCACUGGAGGCUGGGCCUGGGAGGUCCAAGAGGUAGGACUAGCUGCUGGGCUCUCUCUCCCUUAAGUCUUAAAAAACCUUUUCAGAAAACAGAAAAAUCGCAAAGAAAAAAAGGAGAAAAAAAAAGGGUUAUAGGAAGGAUUUGGGCACGCGGAUUAUUUUCCCAAAGUCGCAAAAAUGGGUAUGAUUCCAGAAAAAAAUGGAGUGGCAAGAUUGUAAGAAUUGAAUUCAAAGAUACGAACAAAGAGUAGGAUUUAGAAGUGUCUAAAAAUGUUGAGAAUUUUGGUGGAGCUCCGGAAAGUGAAGAAAGAAUUUUAGGGCAAAGUUUGGAGACGAAACUUGAAGCGGAAAAAGGCAUGUGAUUAUUUGCAAGUGUGUUUAUGGGUGAUUCCAAAUUAUUGGAAUAUAAUUUUUAUAGCUCCCUAAAAUAUUGGGAGGAUAUGUUACAUAGAGAAAUCACCAUGUGAGUUCCCUCAAUUUAAAUAGAUCAAAUAUCUAUGCAUUUUAUCUAGUUGAGUUAAAAAAAAUGAAAUGGCAUGAUGGCAUGAUGACAUGAUGCAAUGCACAUGAUGCAAAGAUGGAUGCAACAGACAAAACAAAUCAGCCGGCGAAACUCGAAAAAACAUGGAAGGCAUCUGAAGCGUCGGUCUUGGGGCGUCACACCAAGGCACCCAUAGAUAAUAUUCAAGGAAGACCCAAGCGUCUAAGCUUGGGGAUGGCACAGAUGACAUACCCUCUUUCGUCUAUAAUUCAUCGGUAUGUUACUUGGAGCUUUAUUUUUAUUCAUUACAUGAUACGAGUUUUACUUGGAGCGUCUUGUAACAUAGUUUUAUUUUGUUUGCUUGUUAACUUGCCACAAUCAUUGUUUGCUAGUCACAUCUUUUGAGAGAGACACACAUUCAUCAUGAUUUUGUUAGAGUACUCUAUGAGCUUCACUUAUAUCUUUUGAGCUAUGCAGUUGCUCAUGUGCUUCACUUAUAUCUUUAGAGCAUGGUGGUGGUUAUAUUGUAUAGGAACCAUUUGCACUCUCAUGCUCCACUUAAAAUCUUUUUGAGAGUGUCUUAAAUACGAAGUGGUAAUAUGAUACUAGUCUAAAAAUGAUAGGUAUACAAGAGGGAUAUAAUAAAAACUUUCAUGUAGAGAACUGAAUAUGAAAUGUGUUAAUUAAUUAUAUUGAUGUAAUAAUAUGAAAGGGUAUUGGUUCAUAAUUAUUAGUUAGUAAAGAUAUCGGUAUUAAAGCUUGUUAUCUAUUACUCUAAAUGUCGGUCAUGGCAUGGCGGGGAUGUUCGAGCAUUUUUAUUUCUGAUUGAAAUCCUUUGUGUUAUUUGAAUCGAGGGCGCGUGAUAGUUAACUCCUACCAACCUCCUCCCUAGGGGCAUGCGAGUAGUACUUUGCUUCGAGGGCUAAUAAAACUUUCACUAUAAGUUUAUGAGUUCUUCAUGACUAAUGUGAGUUCGUGGACUAAUACCACACUACCACCUAUCCAUAUAUUGCCAGCCUGUCCGGUGCUGUGCAUUGCUUAUUCUCACCUUGAGAGUCGGUGCAAACUUUACUGGUGCAUCCAUACCCCGUGAUAUGAUAUACAUAAGCCUCCUAUAACCGUCCUUAAAACAACCACCAUACCUACCUAUCAUGGCAUUUCCAUAGCCAUUUUGAGAUAUAUUGCCAUGCAACUUCCAUGGUCACUAUCCACAUGACAUGUGUGUUCAUCAUCAUAUUGCUUUGCAUGAUCAUAUAGAGCUGUCAUGAUAUUUGUGGCAACGCCACUGUUCAUCAUUGUAAUACAUGUUAUGCUAGAUCAUUGAACAUCUUGGUACACUGCCAGAUGCAUUCAUAUAGAGUCAUAUUGUUUUAGUUUAUCGAGUUGUAAGUAAAUAAAAGUGUGAUGAUCAUCAUCAUUACAGGAUUGUCCUAGUGAGGUAAAGAAUGAUGGAGACUGAUUAGUCCUCCAAAAGGUGGGGAUGAGGCUCGUGAUAUUGUUCUUAAAAAGAGAGAAAAAAUAAUUAAAAAAAGAGAGAAAAAGAGAGAAGGGGCGAUGCUACUAUCCUUUUACCACACUUUUGCUUCAAAUAGCACCAUGGUUCUUCAUAUAGAGAUUCUCCAUGAUUUGUCACUUUCAUAUACUAGUGGGAAUUUUUACGUUAUAGAACUUGGCUUGUAUAUUCCGAUGACGGGCUUCCUCAAAUGCCCAAGGUCUUCAUGAGCAAGCAAGUUGGAUGCACACCUGAAGGAAGUAUUCCCUAGAGGCAAUAAUAAAGUUGUUAUUUAUAUUUCCUUAUAUCAUGAUAAAUAUUUAAUAUUCAUGCUAGAAUUGUAUUAACUGGAAACAUAGUACAUGUGUGAAUACAUAGACAAAUAUAGUGUCCCUAGUAUGCCUCUACUUGACUAGCUUGUUAAUCAAAGAUGGUUAAGUUUCCUAGCCAUGGAUGUGAUGGACAAGACCCAUCCAUUAUCUUAGCAUAAUGAUCGUUCAGUUUUAUUGCUACUGCUUUCUUCAUAACUUAUACAUGUUCCUCUGACUAUGAGAUUAUGCAACUACCGAAUACCGGAGGAACACCUUGUGUGCUAUCAAACGUCACAACGUAACUGAGUGAUUAUAAAGAUGCUCUACAGGUGUCUCCGAUGGUGUUUGUUGAGUUGGCAUAGAUCGAGAUUAGGAUUUGUCACUCCGUGUAUCUGAGAUGUAUCUCUGGGCCCUCUCGGCAAUGCACAUCACUAUAAGCCUUGCAAGCAAUGUGACUAAUGAGUUAGUUACGAGAUGUUGCAUUACGGAACGAGUAAAGAGACUUGCCGGUAACGAGAUUGAACUAGGUAUUGA
rnacentral:lncRNA from 1 species